rnacentral:rRNA from 1 species
GUGCCUAACACAUGCAGUCGAACGGGAAUCUUCGGAUUCUAGUGGCGGACGGGUGAGUAACGCGUAAGAAUCUAACUUCAGGACGGGGACAACAGUUGGAAACGACUGCUAAUACCCGAUGUGCCGCAAGGUGAAAACUAAUUGGCCUGAAGAAGAGCUUGCGUCUGAUUAGCUAGUUGGUGGGGUAAGAGCCUACCAAGGCGACGAUCAGUAGCUGGUCUGAGAGGAUGAGCAGCCACACUGGGACUGAGACACGGCCCAGACUCCUACGGGAGGCAGCAGUGGGGAAUUUUCCGCAAUGGGCGAAAGCCUGACGGAGCAACGCCGCGUGAGGGAGGAAGGUCUUUGGAUUGUAAACCUCUUUUCUCAAGGAAGAAGUUCUGACGGUACUUGAGGAAUCAGCCUCGGCUAACUCCGUGCCAGCAGCCGCGGUAAUACGGGGGAGGCAAGCGUUAUCCGGAAUUAUUGGGCGUAAAGCGUCCGCAGGUGGUCAGCCAAGUCUGCCGUCAAAUCAGGUUGCUUAACGACCUAAAGGCGGUGGAAACUGGCAGACUAGAGAGCAGUAGGGGUAGCAGGAAUUCCCAGUGUAGCGGUGAAAUGCGUAGAGAUUGGGAAGAACAUCGGUGGCGAAAGCGUGCUACUGGGCUGUAUCUGACACUCAGGGACGAAAGCUAGGGGAGCGAAAGGGAUUAGAUACCCCUGUAGUCCUAGCCGUAAACGAUGGAUACUAG